rnacentral:misc_RNA from 1 species
UAGCCGUAGGUGAACCUGCGGCUGGAUCAUUAUCGAGCUAAGCAAAAAACUCUAGUGCUUCGGCGCUAUAGUAGUGGCAGGAACUAUGUACGGUGCGUUUGCUUGACGUACGACUGCACGCCACAGUGACCCAACGGCGAUCGGUUGGUUUCUGUCCGGUUCUGAGCAGCUGUAGCCUAAGUCCGUGGCUGCGUUGACGGAUCGGGGCACGCAUACGUCCCGCUAGUCGGGGUAGAGGAUGCGAAGACUCAAUGAGCUCCACGCCUGGGAGCUGCCAACCAACCUUUUUUUCAACGCAUUUUUCUUAACUAAAGACAAAUAUCAGUCUUACCGGUGGAUCACUCGGCUCGU